rnacentral:sRNA from 1 species
ACCUGACGCGGGUGCCCGAGUGUCUGUACACCCUCCCCAGCCUGCGCCGCCUCAACCUCAGCAGCAACCAGAUCACGGAGCUGUCCCUGUGCAUCGACCAGUGGGUGCACGUGGAAACUCUGAACCUGUCCCGAAAUCAGCUCACCUCACUGCCCGUGCGUCUGAGGGCCUCAGUAGGGGGAUGGGAGGGAGGCCAUGAGCCUGGCCCUGACCUCCCACCCCUGCCCGUUCCCCCUCCAGUCAGCCAUUUGCAAGCUGAGCAAGCUGAAGAAGCUGUACCUGAAUUCCAACAAGCUGGACUUUGACGGGCUGCCCUCGGGCAUUGGCAAGCUCACCAACCUGGAAGAGUUCAUGGCUGCCAACAACAACCUGGAGCUGAUCCCCGAAAGUCUCUGCAGGUGCCCAAAGCUGAGGAAACUUGUCGUGAACAAGAACCGCCUGGUGACCCUCCCAGAAGCCAUCCAUUUCCUGACGGAGAUCGAGGUCCUGGAUGUGCGGGAGAACCCCAACCUGGUCAUGCCGCCCAAGCCCGCGGACCGUGCCGCUGAGUGGUACAACAUCGACUUCUCGCUGCAGAACCAGCUGCGGCUAGCGGGUGCCUCUCCUGCUACCGUGGCUGCAGCUGCAGCUGCAGGGAGUGGGCCCAAGGACCCCAUGGCUCGCAAGAUGCGACUGCGGAGGCGCAAGGAUUCAGCCCAGGAUGACCAGGCCAAGCAGGUGCUGAAGGGCAUGUCAGAUGUUGCCCAGGAGAAGAACAAAAAGCAGGAGGAGAAUGCAGAUGCCCGGGCCCCCGGCGGGAAGGUACGGCGUUGGGACCAGGGCCUGGAGAAGCCCCGCCUUGACUACUCUGAGUUCUUCA